UACCAGCUCUCCGAGUGGUAGGGAUGAUUAUUGGGCUUAAAGCGUCCGUAGCCGGCUUAGCAAGUCUCCUGUUAAAUUCAGCGACCUAAUCGUUGAGCCGCGGGAGAUACUACUAGGCUAGGAGGCGGGAGAGGUCAACGGUACUUCCGGGGUAGGGGUGAAAUCCUAUAAUCCCGGGAGGACCACCAGUGGCGAAGGCUGUUGACUAGAACGCGCUCGACGGUGAGGGACGAAAGCUGGGGGAGCGAACCGGAUUAGAUACCCGGGUAGUCCCAGCUGUAAACGAUGCGAGCUAGGUGUUGGGGUGGCUACGUGCCACUUCAGUGCCGCGGGGAAGCCAUUAAGCUCGCCGCCUGGGGAGUACGGCCGCAAGGCUGAAACUUAAAGGAAUUGGCGGGGAGCACCACAAGGCGUGAAGCUUGCGGUUC
rnacentral:rRNA from 1 species